rnacentral:rRNA from 1 species
UACAGAGGUCUCAAGCGUUGUUCGGAUUCAUUGGGCGUAAAGGGUGUGUAGGUGGCGCCGUAAGUCGGGUGUGAAAUUUCGGAGCUUAACUCCGAAACUGCAUUCGAUACUGCGGUGCUUGAGGACUGGAGAGGAGACUGGAAUUCAUGGUGUAGCAGUGAAAUGCGUAGAGAUCAUGAGGAAGACCAGUGGCGAAGGCGGGUCUCUGGACAGUUCCUGACACUGAGACACGAAGGCAAGGGGAGCAAACGGG